rnacentral:rRNA from 1 species
UACGUAGGGUGCGAGCGUUGUCCGGAAUUAUUGGGCGUAAAGAGCUCGUAGGCGGUCUGUCGCGUCGAUCGUGAAAACUUGGGGCUUAACCCUGAGCUUGCGGUCGAUACGGGCAUGACUGGAGUUCGGCAGGGGAGAUCGGAAUUCCUGGUGUAGCGGUGAAAUGCGCAGAUAUCAGGAGGAACACCGGUGGCGAAGGCGGAUCUCUGGGCCAUUACUGACGCUGAGGAGCGAAAGCGUGGGGAGCGAACAGG